CCUACGGGGGGCUGCAGUAAGGAAUAUUGGUCAAUGGACGCAAGUCUGAACCAGCCAUGCCGCGUGGAGGAUGAAGGUCCUCUGGAUUGUAAACUUCUUUUAUUUGGGAAGAAACUCCCGAUUUCCAUCGGGAUUGACGGUACCAGCUGAAUAAGCACCGGCUCACUCCGUGCCAGCAGCCGCGGUACUACGGAGGGUGCAAGCGUUAUCCGGAUUCAAGGGGGCUUAGGGGGGCGUGGAAGUGCGUGGUGAAAUCUCCGGGCUUAACCCGGAAACUGCCAUUGAUACUAUUUGGCUGGAAUACUCUGGAGGUGAGCGGAAUAUGUCAGGUAGCGGUGAAAUGCUUAGAUAUGACAUAGAACACCCAUUGCGAAGGCAGCUCACUACGGAAAUAUUGACGCUGAGGCACGAAAGCGUGGGGAUCAAACAGGAUUAGAUACCCGUGUAGUC
rnacentral:rRNA from 1 species